CCUACGGGAGGCAGCAGUGAGGAAUAUUGCUCAAUGGGCGCAAGCCUGAAGCAGCGACGCCGCGUGGAUGAAGAAGGUUUUCGGACUGUAAAAUCCUUUUCUGUGUGACGAGAGUGGACGGUAGCACAGGAAUAAGUCUCGGCUAACUACGUGCCAGCAGCCGCGGUAAAACGUAGGAGGCAAGCGUUAUCCGGAGUUACUGGGCGUAAAGCGCGUGUAGGUGGAUUGGUAAGUUACUUAUAAAAGCUCCUGGCUAAACUAGGAGAGGUUGAGUGAUACUGCCAGUCUUGAAUAGAGGAGAGGUUGACGGAAUUCCGCGUGUAGUGGUGAAAUGCGUAGAGAUGCGGAAGAACACCAGUGGCGAAGGCGGUCAACUGGCCUCAUAUUGACACUCAGACGCGAAGGCAUGGGUAGCGAACGGGAUUAGAAACCCCGGUAGUCCAUGCAAUAAACGAUGCACACUGAAUGUUCGCUGUCCUACGGGGCAGUGAGUGUUGAAGCUAACGCGUUAAGUGUGCCGCCUGGGGAGUACGGUCGCAAGGCUAAAACUCAAAGGAAUUGACGGGGGCCUGCACAAGCAGCGGAGCGUGUGGUUUAAUUCGAGGGUACGCGAAGAACCUUACCUAGGUUUGACAUGCUAGUGGUACUGAGGUGAAAGCCAAGGGACUCUUCGGAGAGCUAGCACAGGUGCUGCAUGGUUGUCGUCAGCUCGUGCCGUGAGGUGUUCGGUUAAGUCCGCAAACGAGCGCAACCCUCGGCGUUAGUUACAAGUGUCUAACGCAACUGCCCGUGGCAAACGGGAGGAAGGUGGGGAUGACGUCAAAUCAGCAUGGCCUUUAUAUCUAGGGCUACACACACGCUACAAUGGCGCGUACAAUGCGUAGCGAAGCCGCGAGGUGAGCCAAUCCCGAAGGCGCGUCUCAUUCAGA
rnacentral:rRNA from 1 species